rnacentral:rRNA from 1 species
GAUGAACGCUAGCGGCAGGCCUAACACAUGCAAGUCGAGGGAGAAGCCCUUUCGGGGGCAGAAACCGGCGCACGGGUGCGUAACGCGUAUGCAACCUACCUUUCACAGGGGGAUAGCCCGAAGAAAUUUGGAUUAAUACCCCAUAAUAUUAUUGGAUGGCAUCAUUUGAUAAUUAAAACUGCGGUGGUGAAAGAUGGGCAUGCGUCCUAUUAGCUAGUUGGAGUGGUAACGGCACCCCAAGGCUACGAUAGGUAGGGGUCCUGAGAGGGAGAUCCCCCACACUGGUACUGAGACAGGGACCAGACUCCUACGGGAGGCAGCAGUGAGGAAUAUCGGUCAAUGGUCGGAAGACUGAACCAGCCAUGCCGCGUGCAGGAAGAAUGCCUUAUGGGUUGUAAACUGCUUUUAUAUGGGAAGAAUAAGGCGUACGUGUACGUUGAUGACGGUACCAUAUGAAUAAGCAUCGGCUAACUCCGUG